GACGAACGCUGGCGGCGUGCUUAACACAUGCAAGUCGAACGGAAAGGCCCUGCUUUUGUGGGGUGCUCGAGUGGCGAACGGGUGAGUAACACGUGAGUAACCUGCCCUUGACUUUGGGAUAACUUCAGGAAACUGGGGCUAAUACCGGAUAGGAGCUCCUGCUGCAUGGUGGGGGUUGGUAAGUUUCGGCGGUUGGGGAUGGACUCGCGGCUUAUCAGCUUGUUGGUGGGGUAGUGGCUGACCAAGGCUUUGACGGGUAGCCGGCCUGAGAGGGUGACCGGCCACAUUGGGACUGAGAUACGGCCCAGACUCCUACGGGAGGCAGCAGUGGGGAAUAUUGCACAAUGGGCGGAAGCCUGAUGCAGCAACGCCGCGUGCGGGAUGACGGCCUUCGGGUUGUAAACCGCUUUCGCCUGUGACGAAGCGUGAGUGACGGUAAUGGGUAAAGAAGCACCGGCUAACUACGUG
rnacentral:rRNA from 1 species